GCCAAAGGCUAAAGUCAUGAUGAUGAAAGGCAUAUUACAGUAAAAUGUAAAUGUAACUGUGCAGUCAAGGUUAGUCGAUAUUGAUGGUAAAAUCUUCACAGGCUGUUUUUUGAAAGAGGCAAGACCACGUGUCAAGGAAACAGUGCUACGCUUUUCAACAGAGGAGCUUCACCAGAUACUCUGGCAAAGGUGAUUUUCAAAGGCUAAUAGCAAUACAUGCAUACUGUAUAUACAUAUAGAUUAAAAAGAUGCACUUUAGUGUUGAAUUCACCUUUUAGACCUGGAAACUAAAUCCGUGUUUUAUAUACACUGUUUGUGAAUUAGCUUUAGCAUUGCAGUCGACAUGUGCAUGUGCUGGGGGAGCCAAUUAGAGGAAGACAACUUUGUGUGCAGCUACCAUCAGCUAUUUGGGCAGCAUGUUCACUCGCCUCAUACUUGAUGGUAUAGGCUCAGUAUUACAGCAUUUUGUUGGUGGAACUGAUGUCCACCAAAAAAAAAAAAAAAAAAGACAAACAUGAUCACAAAUUACUGCAGAUCUUGAUAUUUAUCUUCUGUUUGCAUAAAUGAGCAACUAUUUGCUGUAUAGACUUCAUAUGUCAGUGUUGUGCUCACAGGUUGUGUCUGCUGCCCCCAAGAAAAAAAAGAAAAGAAUUUGUACCAGUUUAUGCUGUGCGAGGUGUGGUGGAAGAUUGAUGACCUAAAUACAGGAUGCAGUAGAUGACAGUUAUUAAUUCCGGUUCUUUUGGAUUCUUCAGGGCCAAGGAAACACGGCUCAAAGUGGUUUUUUACUUUAAAAAUGAUCUUUAUUUUACAUAUCUGGGAUAUGGAGACAUGAACACAAAACACACAACCCCAGGUCUGAAGCACAAACGGAAGCCUAGUUAUUUAUAUGUAAAGCUAAGUGUUGAUUUAUUAAGAAAAGAACAAGUACAGGUGGUAGAGAAACAGGUAACAACAAAUCUAUAAAGCAUGGGAAGCACGGGGAAAACCAAUGGAUACAGCAAUGCUAGUGGGACGACUUGAUAAUGGGCGAGGGGAAACAAAGACAAUAAACACACAAGGAUAUGGGAAACAGUAGGGGAAGACAGCUGAACCUAAUCACACAAAAAAUCAAAAAUGAACACAGGACACACUGGAUGCAGCUUACCAAAAUAAAACAGGAAAUAACCAAACGUGGGGACCAUCACUGGUGGAAACUUUACACAAAGGUAGGAAACCCUAAAUAUAAUAUUUAAAAAAAACAAGGACCAAGGAGAGAACUAAUACACAUGGGAAAAAAGACACAUCAAUAUUUACCCAAAGAAAUACCAAGAAUCACAAAGUCCAAAAGCCCCUCAAAGUCCCUGGGUAAUAAAACCCAGAACCAAUAACAGUUUGCUUGUUUGUAAUUAAAAAAAAGAAAACAAAAAAAAUAAUGAAAGCAGCAACAGUAACGGUGGCUGUCUGAAUGUAUUCCCUGUUUUCUGAAGCGACAGAGUAAGAAAGAAAAUUCAGUGUGACUGCAGACAGCAUGCCAGUGCUGCCCAACCUAUGGUGAGAUGUGUUUUCAUAAGACUCAUCUUGCACUUAUGCACCCAUCGCAGCCAUCACAACAACAGGAGCGAUCACCAGAGUGCAAAAUAUCCACAGAGCAACACAUACCUCUCAGAAAGUGCUUUGCAGCCGCUUUCUACAAAUUGCCUUCAAGAACCCAACAGGGAUAAAUUAAGCAGACAAAUUGGCACCAUAUGCAGCCUGAAGGUGCCGUGCUAUUGGAUCAUUUCUAGUGCCUGUUGAUAAGUUGAAUUACAUCCAAGAAGCACUUUAUCUUCCCUAAUGCACCUUUAUUUUGAAAUGGGCCCCAGAUUUGAUAGUAAUGAAUGAUCUGCGUCUUGAAAUUGUAAAUCCAAAUGGUUGAUGAUGUUGCCAUGAUCAGCAUAAAUGCUGUAUCAGCAUUCUGUCUUUGUGGUUUCAUCUCUCUCACAGUUGAGAAUCUUUUUGGCUCCCCUGGUGCCGUUGUACGCUCCAAAAUGGAAGUGUCAUCCCAUUGAACGUGUAACACAGGAAGCCUCAAACAGAAUACAUCACUCCACACCGUUGCUGCUUUAUUGUCUCGCUGUUGAAUCAGCCAUCUCUUGUCUUUCUGCUGUGUUUCUGUUUGGUCUUCAUUGUCAAACUCUCAGCAGCAAGACAACCAGGGAAAUCUGGUUGAUUGGCUUAAUAACUCAUUUUGUUGAAACAUUUUCUUCUCAUUUUGCUUCAGCAACUUGGCAAAGAGUGUCUCUUCACCACAUCUUUUUCAACAGUGAAAAAAAAAACCUUUAUGUUUUUGAACGUAAACAUACGUAACACACAGUUUUAGACUAUAAAAGAAAUCGGCAACAAAAAACUGUUAAAAAACUGUACGCUUAACUACAGGUAUUUAAAAUUAUGCAGUCUCAUUCAAUCACAAUAAUGAAUGACAACUUAGGAAGUGCAUAGUACUUGUACUUGUUCUUACAUGUGAAAAAUCACAUGGAAAUGUCAUCGUAUACACGCAAGUUACACACUUGAAUUCUUAUUUUAGCGCAUUUUAUGAUAAAUAUGCUAAGAAAAUGUGAGUGGUCUAAAUUAGUAGACAUUCGUACACAAUAUUGAGAUUUUGUGCGACUCAGAUACAUUUUUGUCACAUUCUUGUGCCCCGAACACCACACACUUACAGGAACACAGAUUUAAUUAACAUUUUAAUAUCCCUGAACACAAACAUUGACCAGGCGUCAUUGAUCACAGCACUGCUAAUUUAAGGAACUGAGGUUAAACAUUAGAUACUUGCAUUGCACACUUAUUCUGCCCUCAGAAAAAUUAAGCACAUAAUAGCAAUAAUAAAUAUGCACACAUCAACACAAAGGCAGAUAAAACAGAUAACUCAAUGUAAGCAAAAGUCCUUCUAUAAACUACUGUACAUGAUUAAUUAAGGCAAACUAAUUAAAAUUGAGUAGGGACGUGUUUGCUUUUGCAGUGGGUUCUGCAGGAAACCCUUUCUCUGUCUCAGUGCAAUCUGUGUCUUCAUCUUCUUCUUCUUCUUCUUCUUUGUAAUUAUUACACAUUACUCGUUACUUUUCUCAAAUGUAAUGCAAUACUUACUUGUCAGAGAAAGUGAUUCAUAAUUUGUGCCAAUGAAUGUUUGGGGUUUUUGUACGUCAUAACAGA
ensembl:lncRNA